rnacentral:tRNA from 1 species
GGUAGGAUGGCUGAGGGACAAGCAGUGGAUUGUAGCCCCACAUACAGAGGUUUAAGUCCUCUUCGUACCA